rnacentral:rRNA from 1 species
GCCCUUCGGGGUGGAUUAGUGGCGAACGGGUGAGUAACACGUGGGCAAUCUGCCCUUCACUCUGGGACAAGCCCUGGAAACGGGGUCUAAUACCGGAUAACACUCGCCGAGGCAUCUCGGUGGGUUGAAAGCUCCGGCGGUGAAGGAUGAGCCCGCGGCCUAUCAGCUUGUUGGUGAGGUAGAAGCUCACCAAGGCGACGACGGGUAGCCGGCCUGAGAGGGCGACCGGCCACACUGGGACUGAGACACGGCCCAGACUCCUACGGGAGGCAGCAGUGGGGAAUAUUGCACAAUGGGCGAAAGCCUGAUGCAGCGACGCCGCGUGAGGGAUGACGGCCUUCGGGUUGUAAACCUCUUUCAGCAGGGAAGAAGCGAAAGUGACGGUACCUGCAGAAGAAGCGCCGGCUAACUACGUGCCAGCAGCCGCGGUAAUACGUAGGGCGCAAGCGUUGUCCGGAAUUAUUGGGCGUAAAGAGCUCGUAGGCGGUCUGUCACGUCGGAUGUGAAAGCCCGGGGCUUAACCCCGGGUCUGCAUUCGAUACGGGCAGACUAGAGUGUGGUAGGGGAGAUCGGAAUUCCUGGUGUAGCGGUGAAAUGCGCAGAUAUCAGGAGGAACACCGGUGGCGAAGGCGGAUCUCUGGGCCAUUACUGACGCUGAGGAGCGAAAGCGUGGGGAGCGAACAGGAUUAGAUACCCUGGUAGUCCACGCCGUAAACGGUGGGAACUAGGUGUUGGCGACAUUCCACGUCGUCGGUGCCGCAGCUAACGCAUUAAGUUCCCCGCCUGGGGAGUACGGCCGCAAGGCUAAAACUCAAAGGAAUUGACGGGGGCCCGCACAAGCAGCGGAGCAUGUGGCUUAAUUCGACGCAACGCGAAGAACCUUACCAAGGCUUGACAUCGCCCGGAAAGCAUCAGAGAUGGUGCCCCCCUUGUGGUCGGGUGA